UACGGGGGGAGCAAGCGUUGUUCGGAUUUACUGGGCGUAAAGGGCGCGUCGGCGGCCAGUGCAAGUCAGUUGUGAAAUCUCCGAGCUUAACUCGGAAAGGUCAACUGAUACUGCUCGGCUAGAGUGCGGAAGGGGCAACUGGAAUUCUUGGUGUAGCGGUGAAAUGCGUAGAUAUCAAGAGGAACACCAGUGGCGAAGGCGGCUACCUGGCCCACUCUUGACGCUGAGGCGCGAAAGCUAGGGGAGCAAACGGG
rnacentral:rRNA from 1 species